ACCCCUGCCGCGGAACGGCCGCCGCCGCCCUCACCCCCUGUUGCACGGCUGGCUGGCGUAGGGGACGCCCGACCCCUUCCCAGCAUCUCGACCGUCUCAGGCCAACGGCGCCGCUUCCUAUUUGGUGAAGUUCACAUCUCCUGCAAUUAGUUUUUCCAAUUUUGAAUUAUUUUGUUAACUGAAUUUUGAAGUUCACAAAUGGAAAAAUGUGUAGUUCAGAUAUAGGUAUUGAUCAUUUGCAUCGAUUGAUUCAUUGGAUUGAAACAGAAAAUAGAAGUUCACCUCAGUCCACACAUGAUCUUUACUUGCUUUUGUUAUGGAAAUUCGUUUUGUCCACUGAUUUCGGUUAAAGCACACAUAAGAGUACCCACAGCGCCUAGACGCUAAUGUAGACGCUUAUCGAGUUAGUUGGUCAUGCAGCCAAGCGCCGGCAGCCUAGGGAGCUGUCUUUUCCACUAGUUGUUGAAGCGCCACUCUUAAUCUUGCGCUGAUGCCUGAAAAACGGCAGGGAACUAGGUAGAAUGGUAGGGAUUUUAUUCGUAGCGUCUACCUAUAACUACAAGCUUCCCAUUGUAGAUGCUCUAAGAAAGUUCAACAUAAAAAAACAUCACUGUUCUUGAUAGAAGUUAAGAACAACACACGAAGCAGCAGGCCGCUUCAUCAGUGAGCAGGUAGCUCAAUGAAAACACAUAAACAUCUGCGGGUAAAAGAUCACAUCAGAUAGCACUUGUCAAGUUUUUUUUGUCGGUGGAGUUCGCUUCAUCCGUCGCAGGAGUUCACCAUUUUUAAUUGCCAAAAAUUUUAAAAUUCAUGCACGAGCAAGAAAAGUUCACAUUUUUUUACCACGAAGUUCACUACAUCAUCCUUGGGGAUCGCUGCUCUUAAUUGUGAGAAGCUCAAAUAGGCUAGUAAGGAAGUUCACUUUCCUGUUAAAAAAAGAUAGCAGAAAAUGCCCUCGGUGCACAUGUUAGUUUUAGGAAGUUCAUUCAUUCGGUUUAGACAGUGCACUUGUUAUUUGUUUCCAUCUUGACAUUAAAUUUUUAAUCGAAGUUCUGGUCUAUUGUCCGCAAAGUUCAUUCCGAGUUAAUUUCAUCCCUAAAAACUAAAGUACACUCUGCAAACCACGACGGUUUAGUGCUGUCAAUCUGUUUCAACUAGCAAAAAUGUAGACUGAUCAAUUGAUCUUGGCCAAUGAAACAAAGAUAACAGUGGACAUAUGUUUACUCAUAAAUUUGGCCAAUUCGUUUUCUUUUGUUGCAGGUUCAAUUCAUAUGCACUUGAAAGUUCACAGUUUUUAUAUGUAAAAGUUACAGAGAUUACAUACUCAGACAAACUGCAACUCACAAAAUUAUUGUUAGUAGUGGUCAGAUUCAUAUUACUAGCAAAAAUCACAGUGCUCAUGCUUGCUUUUGUGCUAUUUCAGUUGUGUAAUCCGAAAAUCUUGAGUAGACUGUAGUGCAUCGCGUAUUAAGUUAGUGCAUCACGUAUUCUGAAGUUAGUGCAUCGGGUAUUCUGAAGUUAGUGAGUUAACUUCUCAAAAACUUUCAAAAAUAUUUCCUAGGCGCACUACUCUGACCAGACGCCCAUCGACACGAACAACACUGCCUCUUACCCUUGUCAUGGACUGGCCCUCAUCACGGCUCCAGGAAAAGAAACAACCUCAUUGCAAUCUCUGAAUUUUCUGAGGUUCAGUUCAUCUGCGUGAAUAUCUUCUUCAGUUUAUCGCUGUGAAGUUCAGGAAUGCUUUGUGGUCUGGUUGGUGCGCAGAUAAAUUCUUGGAUGAUUUGCAUUUUCGAAUACCAAAAUAGGGUAGAAAUCGUCAUUGUCUAGAUGAGAAGUUCAAUUUUCAUUGUCGGUCUGUUCAUCACACUAAAAAGGCACUUCUUUCGUACUGGAUUCGUGUGCAGCCGAGGUUCCAUUCUUCUUCUGCUACUGGGAGUGAUGACAACACUUGGAGCUCCAUUUGGAUUGAUGAAUUGAAAAAGAAACGAAACAGAAGGACCACUGUGCAGCAAGGUCGGUGAGCAGCAGGCUGGUAUUCAUUGUCCAUCUGGUGGAUUCCAGGAGGUGUUCAAUUGGGGGAUCCUAAUAUCCCAGGCCUCUUCUCAUACUUGCGACCUCAUCUACUGGCGUGUACCUGCUCUUCGGCGUGGAGUGGACGAGAGACUCUCUUCCUGGUCCUCCUCUGAAAUGCCAGCGGAGCAUAUACAUCUGGACCUCCACUGCCAUCCUCCUACAACGUCGAGGAUCAGACAAAGUUCACCGACACCGCCACAUGGAGUCCACCGAUGGAGUCGAAAAAGUUCACAGGCGCCUAAUUGCUGUCUUUGGAUUAUAUAUAACAUAUGCUCGUGCAGGUGUAUUGCAUGAAUUUUUAGUGAAGAAGUACAUGCAUAUGUUGAUGUCAAGUAAAGUUAAGAGAGAGAAAGCAAGAGCGCGAAGAUUAAAUAGCAUGAUUGAAAGUUCAGAGAUGCCUCAUCAAAAUUUUGCACUAUUCUGUAUGUCUUUUUCUCCCAAUCGAGGCCUGGAGAAAAUGUAUCCAGUGUAGUGUUGACAAAAAUGUAUUUUUGAUUUAUCAUGUGUAACUUCACUUGAUGUAUCCCUGCUCUGAACUUCACUUUGCCUCGCUCUGAAGUUCACUUUGGACCCAUAUAAAGUACACUAU